UUACCCUAAAUUUUAGUUGUAUAUGGGUCCUUUAUUUGGAGGCAGGGUCAAAUAACACAACCCUCAUGGGAGGUGCCAAUAGUAGACCCCUAAAAUUUUCUUUUCUAGCCCAAAAGUUUAGGCUUUUUCGAAAUUGUACCCCAGUGGCAUUUGAGGGGUUGCUCUGUGAAUCACAGAAUCUCUGUUAGCACUCUCCUCUCGACGAUUCCCUGUGAUCUCUCUCUCUCUUUCUCUCUCUUUCUCUCUCAGUCUUCUCUCGCUGUGGUUCAGAUUUCAGAGCAGGAUCCAAAAGCCUUGCUUGGUCAAGACUCAUUCAUGUCUGUUCCUAAUGAGGAAAACUUGUCGUCACAUUCCCAGAGAAAGAUGGUUCAGUGAUGCAUGAAGUGAAAAGUCUAUCUUGAACUGCCAACCUUUCUAUCUGCUCUCAUAUCUUUCUUUUAGAAUGAGGAUGGAGGGAAUUGUAAAUGCCACUCUUCAACCCUUAUUCUGUUACCUUAAAUAAAUGAAUAACACUAAAUGUUAGAUGCUAGUCUCAGUAGUAUACCUUCUAUCAUAUUUGUAUUUCUUUGUAUUGUGGAAUAACUCUCACAUGCAUGUGCCUAAAGUAAUUGGUUAUGGGCCUGUUUGGAUGUACUACUGUAGAAGAUUU